AUUGUCCUGGAGUAAAGUACUGUUCUGAAUAUGGAGUUCAAUACGAUGGGAGUACUAUUGUAGAAGUUGGAGGAAUUGGAACUUUUGAUCUUUGUGGAUGUCAAUGUAGUCGAGUCAGCGCAUGUUCGCAUUUUUUCUGGACCCACGCUGGAACUUGUUUCCUAAAACAAGAUGGAGGAGAGAAUAUUUCUGUUGCUCCUCAUGGUAUUUCUGGACGCAUUCAGGAAGAAUGUACUUCUCCUACAACAAGUUGUAUACAGACAGAGUGCUACUUGCCUGGAUAUGACUUGAGUGGUAGUGAUAUAGGCUCUCCAACUUACACAACUACCCCUGCAGAGUGUAGCUGCUUCUGUAGCAAAAUAAGGAAA